ACCCCAAUAUCUGCCUCUGGGUUUUUAUUAAUCGUGCUACAUUCUAGAAAGAGAUGAUUUCUAUUUCUAAUCCCUGCUUUAGUCCCUUAUGAGAAAAAACCUAUUUGCCCCAAAUGUUUACUUAAAUUUGUAAUUUUGUUUUGCCAAAGUCAACCUGUGUUAGUACCUUUUUUGCUUUUAAUAACAGCUUUGAGACAUGUCCAGUUGUUCUGAAUAUGAAGACCCACCUUCUCACCCUUGUUAUAGCGCAAACAUAAGGUCUAUUACCAGACAGUGUAACUUUCCUCAAUGCCAUGACAACAUUGCAGCUGUCGUUCUAAUAUUCAGGGCGUCUUGGGUGUUUACUUAUAAUUUUCCUGCUUUAUUCACUAGGGAUUUUCUAAUAGAGCCUUGUUUUAUUCAAAGGCAGAAUGUCAAAACCCAGCAUUCCUUAAACUUCACACAGAAUAAUAAUAUCAUAUGCAUACAGCAGCUUUUGUGGCUAGUUUGCAUGCAGGGUAGAAAAUAAUUCCUCAUAAACAGCAAUGGUGUAUUUGCACUCAUAAACAAGGCUUUGAUAGAAAUGCUUUGAUUGAGACACAAGCAACUGGGCAGCCAGUCUGAUUAACAACUGUUAACUGGAGAAACUAGAACUGGAGUUCACCCGAAAUACAAGAACGGCUCUCAGCUUGGACUCAAGCAACUUGACCUGUACAUUCAGGGAAGUACAAAGAACGAACUACGAUAACAAUAUUUAUCCUAAAGAAACACCAGCAAGCCUUGAUGGAUAAAGAACUUUAACAACAAAAGCUGAGAGAAGCACUGCAGACACAAAAGGAGAAUUAAAGAUACUGAAGCCAACUUGAAUAGCAUGACCCGAAUGUCAGAAGUCACAGAGACAGCUUACUGACUUAUCCUGGGGUCUGAGCAGUGCCGGGCAGAGAUGGAACAGUUCUAAUCCACGUCCUCACUUCUGAAACAAGGCUAAGCACCAAACAAUACUUUUCAUUUGUGAAACCUUUAUGCACUUUCAUAUGUAAUUACAUUUUAUCUUUGGGUCUUCUCAAUCAUAUUGAUCUUCACAGACAUCAACUAAGCAGUAGCUCGGUGGCCACAAUUACUAAGAGGCACAGCAGUGGUUGAACCCAGGCCUUCAAAGUUCAAUGGUUUUGUAAUAAAAACAAUAGCAGCAGCAGUAGUCAAUGACUGCAAUGAAUCUGCCACGUGUGAGGUACUGGAGAGCUGAUGUAACUAUUGUAACUCUGUGAUGUAGACAGUGUCACCAUGGUGACACAGCACAUACCAUGAAGCUGUUUCAUGUACAAAUUAUUACAAAUACUGCAUAAAAUUUAUCUUUGGCUCACAUGUAUAGAGUAUAUACUGAGUAAAAUGUUAAUGAGUUUUAUUUUGAAACUCGGAUUCUGCCUGAAUUUAUUACAUUAUAUACAUGCAAAAAAUGAAGAUAUCUAAAAAUUCCCCAACACCUGAGUCUUUUGGAUGAAGGAUACUUAACCUGUGCUAUUGCCACUUAGAUAAGCAGAAAGCAAGAUCACAGAGAGGUAAAGUAAUAUGCCCACACUAACACUGCCGUCAUGAAGUAAGGUUUAAGUCAGGCACUGGCUCUAUGCUUGCUCUUU